AAGCUUACGGACAUUAAUCAGUGAUAAUAUUCUCGCAUAAAGCCUGCGGGGUUUUAACCCGGAUAUAGUACUGACACAAAUGCCCUUCGGGACUUAUCACAUUUAUGCACUUUCACAUCCAUCACGUUGGCCACUCGGCCCUGUCACAUAUAUACACUUUCACAUUCAUCACAUCGGUCAUUAGGCCUUAUUACAUAUAUACACUUUCACAUUCAUCACAUCGGCUAUUAGGCCUUAUCACAUAUAUACACUUUCACAUUCAUCACAUCGGCUAUUAG
rnacentral:lncRNA from 1 species